GGAGGAAAAGAAACCAACUGGGAUUCCCUGAGUAACGGCGAGCGAAAAGGGAUCAGCCCAGCGCCGAAUCCCCGGCCUUCACGGUCGCGGGAAAUGUGGCGUUUAGGAGUGAGCGUGCCGGGAUCGGAAGGGGCAGCAAGUCCCCCUGACCGGGGCCUAUCCAGAGCGGGUGCGAGGCCCAUAGCCGUCCCCUCCGUCUCGGAUGCGAUCUCCUGGGAGUCGGGUUGCUUGGGAGUGCAGCCCCAAUCGGGUGGUAAACUCCACCUAAGGCUAAAUACCGCCGUGAGACCGAUAGCAAACAAGUACCGUGAGGGAAAGUUGCAAAGAACUUUGAAGAGAGAGUUCAAGAGUACGUGAAACUGCUCAGAGGUAAACGGGUGGGCCCUCGAAAUCCUGUGGCGAGAGGAUUCAGUCUGCCGUCGCGGGCUCGGGUUCGGAAAAUCUAGGCAGGGCUUUCCCCGAGCGGGAGCCGUCCGAGCUCGAGGCUUCCGCGUGCGGCCGACGCAUUUGUCUCUCGUCCCGAGGACGCCGCAGCCGGUCGGGCAGCGAAAGCGUGACGGCCAGAAAGCGGGACGCGGCAGGUGGCCGGUGGUCGGUCUCCGUGCCGAUCGCCGGUUGUUAGCCAGUUCCGCGGUGGCUCGUCGCUCGACCGAGGUACCACGAGGCCCUCCGGGGCCCCCGUCGCCUCCUCCAGCAACGGAAGCGGGACAGAUCGUCUCCGUCGAAGCACGCUCGUGCGCCGCACUCCUCGAUGUGGGUGCGCGGCCGGGGCAGCGACGCAAGCGACGACGGACCCGCAGGAGGAUCGGCGGCUGGCGGCGAGUAGGUCGG
rnacentral:rRNA from 1 species